CCUACGGGAGGCAGCAGUGGGGAAUCUUGGACAAUGGGGGGAACCCUGAUCCAGCGACGCCGCGUGAGUGAAGAAGUAUUUCGGGAUGUAAAGCUUUAUCAGCAGGGAAGAAAAUGACGCUACCUGACUAAGAAGCCCUGGCUAACUACGUGCCAGCAGCGCCGCUAAUACGUAGGGGGCAAGCGUUAUCCGGAUUUACUGGGUGUAAAGGGAGCGUAGACGGUGCAGCAAGUCUGAUGUGAAAGGUGGGGGCCCAACCCCGGGACUGCAUUGGAAACUGUUGAACUGGAGUACAGGAGAGGUAGGCGGAAUUCGUAGGGUAGCGGUGAAAUGCGUAGAUAUUAGGAAGAACACCAGUGGCGAAGGCGGCUUACUGGACUGUAACUGACGUUGAGGCUCGAAAGCGUGGGGAGCAAACAGGAUUAGAUACCCUUGUAGUC
rnacentral:rRNA from 1 species